GGAUUGUGCACGCUUUUACUUACUUUUUUUAAAUAAGGAGAGUUUUAAAAGCCAGUAAUAAUAAAAACAAGUUUCAAAACAUGUCCUGUUUAAACAAUUAACAAAAUAAACUUUCUUUAAAAGUUUGAAAUUAUCAUUUUACACAAAUUAUUAAUAUAUUCAAUAAACAAAGCUUUUAUAUUUUAAUUUAAAAACAAUUUCUUCUGAAGAACAUUUUUUACCCUAAUCUUUUCUGUAGAACCAUAUUAUUGAUUCUGACAAUUUACAAUGUUCUUACUAUAUUAAAUAGUGUAAUUUAAACUAUAAACCACAUGACUUAUAAAAACUGGAUUAAAAAGUGCUUUUGAAAAUGUCUUGCAAACUCAGUAAGAAAGUAAUAAAUAUGAGGAUUAAAUCAUGAAGUUAUCACCACAUUUUAUUGUUGUCUUCUCCAGUAAACUCAAAAUAUAAUGUGGAGACUGUUAGUCUUUUCUAGCUUUAUUUUAAUCAUGUUCUAACAGAUAAUAAACUGAAAACAUGGGAAUUCAAUAGAGGCAUUAUCUCAGGGCUCGAAAUUAUAAAAAUUAAGACAAUUUCCCUAUAAAUUUUUACAGUAUUAUAGGCAAGACACGCUCAUAUUCAUAUUUAAUGAAUAUAAGUUAUCAGAUGCCUACUAAGUGCCAGGUACCAAGCAAGAUACUUUCUCAUUUCUCUGACAGUCUUAAGAUGAGAUUGUGUGGUUGUCAGGUACACAAUGAUACACAGAAACAAUAACUGAUUACAUUCAUCAUGAUGCAGUGAUUUAAAAUAUCUAUGACCUGCAAUAAACUCAGAGAAAAAAAGCAUGAAUGGUACCCGUCUUAGAGGAAAAGAGAAUCUUUAUAAAAGCAAAUUUUCUUUCCUUAACAAACCUAUGGCUUAGGUUGGACAGAAAGGAUUAAUCCUAACCUUUUCUUUGUGGGAUUUCUUUUCUUUUUUCGGAGUUGGACUCCCUCACAGUGAGGUGGCAGUUUAGACUUAAAACGAUUAAACAGCAUAGGAAACUUAAUACCAACCUACUUAAUUUCCUAGGAUUCCUGGCUGGAAUACUAGGCUGUUUUGUAAAUGUACAACCUGAGAUCACAGAGCAUUGGAAGCUGCUUGUACAGAAGAAAAAGAUCAGUACUUGAACUCAGAAGAUCCAUGUUUACAUCUUAGCUCCGUUGUUUUUAUGAGUUUGGGCAAAACUCUUCUUUUUUACAGGCCUCAAUCUAACAAUUUGUAUAAAAGGAGAUCAGUGAAUAUGUUAGUCAGGACUCUGUCUGAACUAAAUGUAGAAAUACACAUCAAAAUACAUUAAGAAAAUAUUAAAUGUAUAUGUUCAUAAAACUGAAAAUUCUAGGCUUAUAACUCACUCUACGUGGGGCUGGAUCAAGAGGCUUGAUUUAUGUAAUCAGGCAUUUUUCUUCUCCAGCCUCAGUUCUGCUCUUUUCAUAGUUAUGUUCAUUUGAUUUUUUAUUGGCUCUAGGGUUUUUUAUUUCAUCUUCUAAAUGAAGAGUUUUCUUCCCUGAUAAUUAUAAUAAAAGCUCUGAAAUGGAGCCUCAUUGAUCUGACUUGAGUCAUAUACUCUACCUUAAUCAUUAUACAUUAGUUUAUUAAUUUAUUUGCUAGUUACUAUUUGAGCUUUACUAUGUGAUAGGCACUGUUCUAAACAUUUGUGAUACAAUGACGAGCAUAAUAUACAUAAACAUAUAAAAUAGCUGCUUUUAUAAAGCAUUCAUUCUCAUGAAACAGUCAGGCAAUACAGUAAUGCAUGAAUAAAAAUAUAAUAUUCUGUCAUUCUUGUCAUGUUACAAAGAAAAAUAAAGCAGGGAAAGAGAAUAGAGUGUCAUAGGUGGCUACUUUAUAAAGGGUGGUCAGAGAGGUCUUUUCUGGUAAGAAAAUUCUUCUGGGAGAAAACUGAUGCUGCGAAAAAAGCAGUAAGUUUAAGAUGUGCACUUGUUACAUCUCAGAAAUAGCAAGGAGACUAGUAUGGCCAGGUCAAGAUGGUCUAGGAGGAGAGUAAUAACGUAUGAGGAUGGGAAAGUAGCUAAUGUCAGAUUUAAUUUUUUUUUUUUUUUUUUUGAGACGGAGCCUCGCUCUGUCGCCCAGGCUGGAGUGCAGUGGUGCCAUCUCGGCUCACUGCAGGCUCUGCCUCCCGGGUUCACGCCAUUCUCCUGCCUCAGCCUCCCGAGUAGCUGGAACUACAGGCGACUGCCACCACGCCCGGCUAAUUUUUUGUAUUUUUAGUAGAGGUGGGGGUUUCACCGUGUUAGCCAGGAUGGUCUCGAUCUCCUGACCUCGUGAUCCGCCCGUCUUGGCCUCCCAAAGUGCUGGGAUUACAGGCGUGAGCCACCGCGCCCGGCCCAGAUUUAAUUUUAAGUGAUGUGGAAAUCUUGGAGGAUUGUGAACAGUAGAGUGAUAAGAUAAUUACCUAACAUGUCUUCCAAAGAUCUUGCUGCUAGAUAGAGAAUAAACAGUAGGACCACAGUCAGAAUGGUGUCACUGGGUUUUUACAACAAAGUAGCCCUGAGCCACAGACUGUCUUACUCAUCUCUUUAUACCAUUUCUGUUUGGAUAAAGAUUUGACACAUAUUAAACACAAAAUAACUAAACACAAAAGUAAACACAAAUGUUUCAUUGUAGAGUGAGUAGUUUCACUGAUAACAUUUCAGUAAAAUUGCUUUGCUUCCAGUCUUAUGAAGAACUAAAAUAGCAAAGUGGCUGCAUUUAGACUCAUUUUUCAGUUUAUUCUUUUUAGAUAAAAAGUCACAUCAACAGAAAAUGUCCUUAAUUCUGUAAUAUGGAAUUCUCAAUGCUGAGUCCAUAUAUUAUUCUGACAGACAGACACGAGGCAGGAUGAUAUUUGAAAACGGGGAAAGGACUCUACCCAAAUGUGUGCUUGAAAUUGAAGAUAUAGGCUUUCAUUUUACAUAUAUAUAUAUAAUUUACAUACAUAUGUAAAUAUAUGUAUCAUAU
rnacentral:lncRNA from 1 species